rnacentral:lncRNA from 1 species
ACAGGUAGGCCUUGUGCCUUUCACACCACAGGGAAGGAAUGACGCCAUAGAAUGCAAAUUGUCGGUGCUCAUCUUUUAAUUUCAGCAGUCUGGGUGCUGGGGGACUCAGGCAAUAAAGAUUGGCACAGAAGUAGCACUGUCCCCGCAUGGCAGAGCCAUAUGGGCAAGGCUGGCAGGAGAAGGCACAGUGGGGAACAGCAAGGACCCCGAGGCAGCAGGAAACCAGAAUAUCCCACACUCACAUGUGGUCAAGAUGAUGUGAAGAAGCAAACCCCUAACCCCACCUCCAGUGCUGUGGCACUCCUAAAGCCACUGCCGAAUUUAGGGGCAACACGGGGGAAAUAUUGGGAGGAUUUAUAGAUGAGUCAUUAAAUUUCUGUCGCCCAGCAGGACAGGACACAAAAUAGAAAUCAAGCUGUUCUGUAAAAGAGUAAAGUCACAGUCCUCUACUCCUCAAUUUGUGGACUGAGAUUUGGACACACAUAGUAGAUCACAGAGCCAAGACACUAGCAGUGACGACGGGUGUCCAGGUCCAGGGGACUGAAUGACAGGACUCAGUGACCUGCCAAGGAUGAGCAAGGAGUCAGUGAGGGUCUCAGUUCCGUGGAUGUGAGAUUUUGGCCUCUAGAGAGGGGACAAUACUUCGGAACAAGAAUCACUCAUGAUAAUUUUCUAUGACCUGAGAAAAUCCCCUCAAGAGCUUUCAAUUCCAUUUGCUCUGAUUGCAGCCUCACUAAGCAACCUUCUGAUGGCUCUUAGUUUCCCAGGUAACCUGAAGAACAUUCUGGCUUAUUAUGUAUCAGUCUUUGAGAGUCUAAUUAGGGCUACCUUGAGAACCUGGUCAAAUUAGGUUGCAUCUACAAGUUCAGGGGUCUGGUGAUGCACAUCUGAGGCCCAGGCUCCAUACCUUCAACCGCAUUGAGGUUCUGCCAGUCCAGGGUUUCUGGACGCCUUUCUGAAGCCAAUUAUUAGCACUCCAGUAUUUUCAUUUUUCAUUGCAAUUUUUUCUUUGACCCAUGGUUAAUUCAGAAGUCUUUCAACUGUUGUCAAAGCAUACAUGAUUAUUUAGAAGUUACUUGUUACAAAUUUCUGCCUUUACUACAUUUUGUCAGAGAAUGAGAAACCCUGUGGUACGUUUGAGUAGGUUUGAAUCCUGAUUCUGCCUCCUGCCAUCUGUGUCAUUGUUAGCAAGUCACUGAGUCUCAGAAUCCUCACAACCAGGACAACUGGGGUCCCGGCAAGGAGACCACGUGUGGACAAACCUGUACGUUAUGCCCAGGAGCUCAACUCCGGCUGGUUUGUGCUGCAACAUCGCCGAGGACUCCACCCAACUUAUAAGCGGGACUUGCUCCAUCUGCUCCCUCUGGCCUCUCACUUGCCACUCUGGUUGCUGCCUGGGCCCCACCCGCCUGCCUUGGCUACUUCCAUUUCUGCUUGUGGACAGAGGGCAAUGCAUCCAGGAAACGUCCCAAUGUGGAAAUGCGGCUCUCACCGCCCCUGAUACAAACUAAACACAUUCUUUCCAGAAAGCCUCCCUUCCCCCUGGACACAAUGACCUAAGGGGAACAAAUAGCCAACCCAGACUCCUGGCUCCUGCGGUGACUGGCCAGAGACUCCCACAUCCUUUCCCACACCCUGUGCAGCCCACCCCCACCACCCCUCAUCCAGCAUCCUCCAGAGAGAGGGGAAGAGAGAGGAGGGGGAGCCUGGAACUUUGUAUUCCAUAUGUACAUGGGUGGAGGCAAAUCGGUGCAUCGUGGAGAGAUAGUCCCACUCCACUAGCAAAAGCCUUCCUCCAGAUAUCAGUGCAAACUCCUCAGGGCAAUCACUGGUACAAAAUCAUCUCUAGCGCAAAGUCAUAUUUCUUUUCUUCCCAUUCCCCUCAUUUUCUGAUCCCAAUUUCAUCUGCAGCUGGGAUCUAUUUAAAUUUCUAACUUCCAGGCAUAUCUAACUUUUUGUCUUUGGUGGGAAGAAGACUGACUACAUAGAAUAAUAAUCAUGAAAUAAUUUAUUUCUUAAAAUAAAUUUUAAAAAUAAAAAUAAAAAUUAUUAAUAGUAAGAACAUUGCAAGCCCUCAAGGCUUCCAAGCUGGGGUCCUCUGUGUAUUUCACCUCCCUGCUUCCAACUCACCUCACCUUUCAGUCCAAAAAGUUACCAAAUCCACUCUGUUGCCCAGACUGGA